CCCCGGCUCCGCUCUCCCGGCGGCCCCGGUCCCGGCCCCAGCCCCGGCCAUGAAGCGGAUCUUCUCCUGCUCCAGUUCACAGGUGGCGGUGGAGAAAUGGAACCGCCGUGACCAGAAACUCCUAGAAGCAGUGCAGCGGGGAGACGUUAGUCGGGUGACUGCUCUAGCCUCCAGGAAGACUGCCCGUCCCACCAAGCUAGACUCCCACGGCCAGUCCCCGUUCCACCUAGCAGCAUCCAAGGGGUUGACGGAGUGCCUGACUGUGCUACUGGAUAAUGGGGCCGAAAUCAACAGCAAGAAUGAGGAUGGAAGCACCGCCCUGCACUUGGCUACUAUUUCCUGCCAGCCGCAGUGUGUCAAGGUCCUACUGCAGCAUGGUGCCAAUGAAGAUGCAGUGGAUGGAGAAAACCGAAGCCCCCUGCACUGGGCUGCCUCAUCCGGCUGUGCCUCCAGCGUACUGCUGCUGUGUGAUCAUGAAGCUUUUCUGGAUGUCCUUGAUAAUGACGGACGGACGCCCCUGAUGAUCGCAUCACUGGGUGGACAUGCAGCCAUCUGUUCACAGCUCUUGCAAAGAGGCGCCCGGGUUAACGUCACUGACAAGGAAGACAAAUCGGCUCUGAUCCUGGCCUGUGAGAAAGGGAGUGCAGAGGUGGCCGAGAUGCUCCUGAGCCAUGGGGCAGAUGUAGGGGCUGUGGACUGCAUGGGCCAUGAUGCCUUAUACUAUGCCCUGCGCACCCAAGACAAGGAACUAUGGAGGCUGCUUCGCCAGGCGCUGAACCGCCGCCAGUGUGGAGGCCAAGGGCUGGCUCAACAUCCUGAUCUAUCAUCUCAGGGCUCCCCACCUAAGAGCCCAAGAACAGCAGAGCCAGAGGAGGAGGAUGACGAAGAGGAAGGGGGUGAGGACACAUGUAGCCCUCAGGAGUGGAAGAGGAAGUAUGAAGCAGAGAGAAAGAAAGUCUCCCAGCUGGAGAAGGAGCUGGUACAAAAGGAAGAAGAGUGUAAGGUCCAGGUUACAGCCUGCAAGGGUCUGGAGAGCCGGGUUCGAGAACAGGUUCAAGAACUGGGAGUGCUCUUGGCCAGGGAGUCUAGAGACACGGGUGGGCAAGGUCCCAGUCCACGGCCUGGUGGGGAUGGCAUGGAGCAGGGCUGUGUUCUGGACCUGUUGGCUGAGCAGGUACAAGAACUGAAGAGACAGAAACAGGCUAUGACAUCACAAGUGUCCAAAGCCCAAGGGCCCCAGUAUGAAAGCCAGGGGACAGCCCAGCCAGAGGAGCAGAGGCCCCCGCUGCAGAGCCCGGUGGAGAAGGCCCCAGGGAAGGCCAAGGGAGAGCAGCUAGCAAAUGUGGAAGGGGUCGUGCCAGGGUGGGGAAGAGGAGACCAAGCGCUUCCCCUCAAAGAGGAGAGAGGGAGGGCUCCGGGUGCUGAGCCAGCAGGCAUGGUUGCCUUGGGCCAGCUCCUGUUGCAGCUGAGGGAAGAGCUGACUGCGGUGUGGAGGGACAAGGAUGCUGCCAGAGGGGUCCUGGGCAGACCAGCUGGAAACAAGGUUUGGGGGGCAUCCCAGGCCGAGGCUGCAGCAGCCGCCUGGGAGAAGAUGGAGGCUCGGUUAGAGCAGGUGCUGGCCAGGCUGGAUCGGGCGAAGGCUGGUCUGCACGUGGAGACUGUGCCUCCUGUCCCGGAGUCCCAGGAGGGGGCUCUCCCCAGAGCCAAAACCAUUACUGUGGCAACGAGCCCCCCCAGAGAAGGCAAGGCAAAGGAGGAACGGGCCCAUGAAGCUCGGGGGGAGCCCCUCGGAGCUCCGGGAGCGGGGCAGGCCCCAGAAGGGACUGGGGCAAAGGGACAGCUGGAGAAGGAGGUGUCGGCCCUGAGGCUGAGCAAUAGCAACCUGUUGGAGGAGCUGGGUGAGCUGGGGCGCGAGCGCCAGCGGCUGCAGGGAGAGCUGCAUGCCCUGAGCCAGAGGCUACAGAGGGAAUAUAUGCCCAGGCCGGAGGCCCAAGGCCAGCUGCAGCAGCUACGCAGCAGCGUGGGGCUGUUGGCCGAGGAGCUGGCGGCGGAGAAGGAGGCCGCCGAGCAGCUCCGACGGCGCCUGGCUGCCCAGAGCACGGGCCUGCAGGGGCUGCGGGAACGCCUGCCUCCCGACCUGGUGGGCGGAGGGAGCCCCCAGGGCUCAGCCCCUGACCUCCUGGAGGAGCUGCAGGGCUGCGUGGGCACCCUGGUGUCCAGGUACGACGAGGCGCAGCGGGAGCUGGCCAAACUGCGGAGAGAACACCAGGGACUGAAGGGCACCGGCCGGGACGCCGGGGCUCCCCAGGCUGUCCCCCAGGUAGCUGCCCUGGAGCAGGACCUGGGGAAACUAGAAGAGGAGCUGCGGGCGGUGCAGGCCACCAUGGGCGGGAAGAGCCAGGAGAUUGGAAAGCUGAAGCACCUGUUGUACCAGGCCACGGAGGAGGUGGCGGAGCUUCGCGCCCGGGAAGCGGCCAACCUGAGACAGCAGGAGAAGAGCCGGGCGUCCCUGGUGGCCCAAGCACAGACUUGGGGCCAGGAGCUCAAGGCUUUGCUGGAGAAGUACAACAGUGCGUGCAGGGAGACCGGGCAGCUGCGGGAGGUGGUGGCCGAGGAGCGGCGGCGGAGCCGAGAGCUGGCUGCCCGGGCCACUGAACAGGAGCGCCAGGCCAGUGAGAUGAAGGGCCGCUCAGAGCAGUUUGAGAAGGCUGGUGAGUUGCUGAAAGAGAAGAUGGACCAGCUGAUCGGGGCCUGCAGGGAAAAGGAGGCGAAGAUCAGGGGGUUGCUGAAGAAACUGGAACAAAUGUCAGCUGAAGUCCUUGCUGUUCGUGGGGAAAAUACCCGCCUUGUGCUACAAUUGCAGGAUUCCCAGAAGAACCACCAGGAAAUAAUUUCCACCUACAGGAACCAUCUGCUUAAUGCUGCUCGGGGCUAUAUGGAACAGGACGUAUACAAGAUUCUUCUCCGGAUCCUCAGGAUGCAGGAAUGAGUUCCCAUGGAUGGUGCUGAAUACGAGACUUCUCUGCUAUCGAAGAGACCUUUGGAAGCAGAUCUAAGGCUGAAUCAGUGGAGAGGGCAAGGGCAGCAUCAGAGGCCAGAACCAUGGCCAUGGUGUGGUGGUGGUGGGGCUGGCCGAUAGCAGUGGUGUGGGCUGGACUUUCCUGACAUGAAGAACCCCAGAUCUGAGAAGCUAGACCUUGGAUACAGGACUGAUGGAGCCAGAAAAAAAAGCAUGGAAGAAGCCAGCUCUGUGGGAAAUAAAGCAGAAGGCAGUAUGGUGUUGGAUAUCAUUGCUUCUUCGGUCUGGGGCCAGGGUGGACAUGCAUUUCCUAGCUCCCUUUGCCUUAGCCACAAACAGCCUCUCCCCCAAAGGGAGGUCAUUGAUAUGAUCCUUCCUCUUGCCAAUGCUUUCAUAUGCAGAUAACUGCAAUCUCUCCUCCUCCUUAAGGUCUCUGAGUGAGUCUAUAUUUGCUUUUUUGUCUAAUGUGGAAAGAGACAUUAGGGGUAGAGAGCUGUUUUAUGUUCCAUCCAGGAUGAA